CGCUUGUAAAGUAAUCAAAACAUCGCGAAAUAUUUUCGGUGAUAUUGUUAGAUUUUACUACACUGUCUGUUCACUGCAAUAGCUCGACAAAUUCUAACAGAUUUUACAAUUGUUCCAUAUUGUAAAUCUGUAGACUGGUAUAUGUAUAACAAAUAUAUCUCUCAGCUCUCGCAGAUAAUCGAUUUAAGAUAUGAAUAUGAAUACGUACAAAUGAAGAUAUGUACGACCCAAGCCUCAAGGUCAAAGGUCAAGCCUCACAAUUUUCGUGGGUAAAGCUGUGAUUGGCUAAUUUUGAGGAAAGGAAUUCUUGGCCAAAGUAAGCAUACCUUACGUGAGGGCACAGCCCGCUAAGUAGGUAUGCGUAGAAAACUAGACAAACAUUUGCAUGCAGUGAAAUCGUUUCCGUGGACAGAGCGUCAAACUGACAAAAUUGGAAACGACAUUUUAGAAACGCUCGGAAACGUUACAGUGUGCACAUCUAGUCUAAAAUGCACCAAAUCUGCGACACGGACGCGACUAAAAAACAGUCGCUAAUAAUGGGAGACUACACACGUAAAAACGCACAAGUUGUUACAAGUCUGCAAACAAGCUGUUACACGUCUGUUCACAAGCUGUCAACAAGUUGUGCUCGCACUGCUUGUUCCCAGUUUGUUGUAACAAGUUUGAAACAAGCUGUUAACAACUUGUAACAAGCUUGAUGCCAUUAUCAGCCUUGUUACAAGAUUGUGCUAACAAGUUUGUUACAGCCAUGAUAUAACAAGGAUGUUACAAGGUUGUCAACACAAGAUUGUAACAAUCUUGUUAUAUCAAGCAUGUCACAGACUUGUCAGAACAACGUUAGUAAGUAAGUAAGUGAACUUUAUUUAACCACGGUAGACUCAUCAGGAUUUACAAUAAAAUAGACAAGGGACAUUACAAAUAACAAAAUAUGGAAAUACAUUAUUAAUACCUGUUUUCCAUGAUUGCCGUGCAUUAUUAACUAAUAAUGUAGAUAGGAGUAAAAAUAUUAAAAUUAUCGAAUGAAGUUGCUACAAUCAGCCUUGAAUUUACGUAAAGAGCUAGCCUGCCGUAAUUC